CUGCAAUUUGUUUUCCAGACCAGGGAAUAGCUGCCAGCAGGAGCUGCUCACACAGAAAGACAGUAGUUGUUUACCUGCACUGCAGAGCCAGACCAGGGAGGACAGAACCUGAUCCUGCCCAGCUGUGACAACUGUUUAUCAGCUGCCAAGAGAGAUCCUGUGAAUCUCACUGCAAAAGACAUAUAUCCCUCUUCAGAUAUAAGAUGAUUUCAUACUUACUGUAAACUUUGGGGUUUCCCUAACUAUCAACAAGAUGGUCGGAAAGAGAGGAAGGAUUCCUAUUGGCAGUCUCAUUUGUGAAAGCUGUAAUAUAAGGAUCUGGAUCACACCCAGUAAGAGAACUAAAACCAGUACUAUGUCAAGACAGUGUAACAACCAGGGGAUUGUAGAUGCCAAGCACAAAUCUGAGGAGACCUGAUUCCAAUACAUUGAGUUUGGGCCCAAGUCAAACACCGAUGAUUGCUAUGAGAUGGCCAUGCAGGAAAGCCUGAGGUAACUCCUGACUUGGGUGAGCACACCAAAAUGGAAGCUAUGUACAUCUUAAAGGUGGUGUUUUCAUCCAGUGCAUAUUGGAGUAGGUAGGUACAGUUAAGGUUUCCCACCUACU